CGUAUGCAUACAUGCAUGCAUGCACAUGUAUGCAUGCAUGUAUGCGUAUGUGUGCAUGUAUACAUGUAUGUACACGCACGCAUGCAUGUAUACAUGCAUGUAUACGCAUGUAUGCGUGCCUACAUGUAUGUGCACGUAUGUAUGCAUACG
rnacentral:snRNA from 1 species